UCGAAGGUAGCAUAAUCAGUAGUCUUUUAAUUGAAGGCUGGUAUGAAUGGUUGGACGAAAUAUUAACUGUUUCAUAAAAAUUUAUAAUAAAAUUUUAUUUUUUAGUUAAAAAGCUAAAUUGUAUUUAAAAGACGAGAAGACCCUAUAAAUCUUUAUAUUUAUAAUAUUAUAAUUUUUUGGAUUUAUUUUAUUAUAAUAUUUUAUAUUAUUUUAUUGGGGUGAUAUUAAAAUUUAAUAAACUUUUAAUUUAUUAUAUCAUUAAUUUAUGAAUAAUUGAUCCAUUAUUAGUGAUUAAAAGAAUAAGUUACUUUAGGGAUAACAGCGUAAUUUUUUUGGAGAGUUCAUAUUGAUAAAAAAGAUUGCGACCUCGAUGUUGGAUUAA
rnacentral:rRNA from 1 species